UACGUAGGGUGCAAGCGUUAAUCGGAAUUACUGGGCGUAAAGCGUGCGCAGGCGGUGAUGUAAGACAGUCGUGAAAUCCCCGGGCUCAACCUGGGAAUUGCGAUUGUGACUGCAUCGCUGGAGUGCGGCAGAGGGGGAUGGAAUUCCGCGUGUAGCAGUGAAAUGCGUAGAUAUGCGGAGGAACACCGAUGGCGAAGGCAAUCCCCUGGGCCUGCACUGACGCUCAUGCACGAAAGCGUGGGGAG
rnacentral:rRNA from 1 species